rnacentral:rRNA from 1 species
CCUACGGGAGGCAGCAGUGGGGAAUAUUGCACAAUGGGGGAAACCCUGAUGCAGCGACGCCGCGUGAGUGAAGAAGUAUUUCGGUAUGUAAAGCUCUAUCAGCCGGGAAGAAAAUGACGGUACCUGACUCAGAAUCCCCGGCUACCUACGUGCCAGCAGCCGCGGUAAUACGGAGGGGGCCAGCGUUAUCCGGAUUUACUGGGUGUAAAGGGAGCGUAUACGGCGCGGCAAGUCUGAAGUGAAAGGCAGGGGCUUAACCCCUGAACUGCUUUGGAAACUGCCAUGCUAGAGUGCUGGAGAGGUAAGUGGAAUUCGUGGUGUAGCGGUGAAAUGCGUAGAUAUUAGGAGGAACACCAGUGGCGAAGGCGGCUUACUGGACAGGAACUGACGUUGAGGCUCGAAAGCGUGGGGAGCGAACAGGAUUAGAUACCCGAGUAAUC